UUAGUGGCGAACGGGUGAGUAACACGUAGGUAACCUGCCCUCAAGACGAGGAUAACCAUUGGAAACGAUGGCUAAUACUGGAUAGGUAUGAAGAAGGCAUCUUCUUCAUAUUAAAGGACCCCUGGUAUACUUGAGGAUGGACCUGCGGCGCAUUAGUUAGUUGGUGAGGUAAUGGCUCACCAAGACGAUGAUGCGUAGCCGGACUGAGAGGUUGAACGGCCACAUUGGGACUGAGACACGGCCCAAACUCC
rnacentral:rRNA from 1 species